UACGUAGGGACCGAGCGUUGUCCGGAUUCAUUGGGCGUAAAGAGCUCGUAGGCGGCCACUCAAGUCGAAUGUGAAACCUCGAGGCUUAACCUCGAGCCUGCAUUUGAUACUGGGCGGCUAGAGUCUGGUAGGGGGAUCUGGAAUUCCUGGUGUAGCGGUGGAAUGCGCAGAUAUCAGGAGGAACACCGGUGGCGAAGGCGGCGACCUGGUCCUAUACUGACACUCAUACACGAAAGCGUGGGGGAUCAAACAGG
rnacentral:rRNA from 1 species